AGCGAACGCUGGCGGCAGGCCUAACACAUGCAAGUCGAACGAACUCCUCGGAGUUAGUGGCGGACGGGUGAGUAACACGUGGGAACGUGCCUUUAGGUUCGGAAUAACUCAUGGAAACUUGUGCUAAUACCGAAUGUGCCCUUCGGGGGAAAGAUUUAUCGCCUUUAGAGCGGCCCGCGUCUGAUUAGCUAGUUGGUGAGGUAAAGGCUCACCAAGGCGACGAUCAGUAGCUGGUCUGAGAGGAUGAUCAGCCACAUUGGGACUGAGACGCGGCCCAAACUCCUACGGGAGGCAGCAGUGGGGAAUCUUGCGCAAUGGGCGAAAGCCUGACGCAGCCAUGCCGCGUGAAUGAUGAAGGUCUUAGGAUUGUAAAAUUCUUUCACCGGGGACGAUAAUGACGGUACCCGGAGAAGAAGCCCCGGCUAACUUCGUGCCAGCAGCCGCGGUAA
rnacentral:rRNA from 1 species